rnacentral:lncRNA from 1 species
CCCCAUUUCGGGGAAUGCUGAGGUCCCCGGAAGUAAUAGCGAUGGCACCGGGAGGCAGCGGUAGACCUGCAUCACAAAGCUGAACAUACCCGGGAGCCAAUCAGUGGGCAGCUUCUCUCCAAAUCCCUCACAACCAGGCAGCUGGCUCAGCAUGUCAGGCAAAUUCCAAAAAACCUCCCAGCUCAGAAAAAACACUCUUGAGACUCAGGUGCCAUAGCCUGCAGAAGCCAAAUCUCACCGACCCAGACUGGCAAAGCCCAUGCAGGUUUGCACUUGGACGUGAACUUGGACAAGGAAAUGGUUCACCCUUCUCAAGGUUUGUCUUCCCUCUCCCAACCCUCCAAAGACAAUGAGGAUUCUCUAGAAAGUCUGUUUUUCUUCAUCGUUGUGUGCCAUGAGCAUUAUAAUGUCCACCAUUCACCGUAGGCUUGGAUAUUUCACUGAAACACUUGACUUAUCAUGAAAUAAAUGCCUACAGGCUGUGGAGUGUGGCA